rnacentral:rRNA from 1 species
UACCAGAACCUCGAGCGGUCAGGAAGUUUAUUGGGCAUAAAGCAUCCGUAGACGGCUCUGCAAGUCUUCGGUUAAAUCCACCUGCUUAACAGAUGGGCUGCUGGAGAUACUACAGAGCUAGGGAGUGGGAGAGGCAGACGGUAUUCAGUGGGUAGGGGUAAAAUCCUCUGAUCCAUUGAGGACCACCAGUGGCGAAGGCGGUCUGCCAGAACACGUUCGACGGUGAGGGAUGAAAGCUGGGGGAGCAAACCGG